CCUACGGGAGGCAGCAGUGGGGAAUUUUGGACAAUGGGCGCAAGCCUGAUCCAGCAAUGCCGCGUGAGUGAAGAAGGCCUUCGGGUUGUAAAGCUCUUUUGUCAGGGAAGAAACGGCUGAGGUUAAUACCUUUGGCUAAUGACGGUACCUGAAGAAUAAGCACCGGCUAACUACGUGCCAGCAGCCGCGGUAAUACGUAGGGUGCAAGCGCUAAUCGGAAUUACUGGGCGUAAAGCGUGCGCAGGCGGUUUUGUAAGUCUGACGUGAAAUCCCCGGGCUCAACCUGGGAAUUGCGUUGGAGACUGCAAGGCUGGAGUCUGGCAGAGGGGGGUAGAAUUCCACGUGUAGCAGUGAAAUGCGUAGAGAUGUGGAGGAACACCGAUGGCGAAGGCAGCCCCCUGGGUCAAGACUGACGCUCAUGCACGAAAGCGUGGGGAGCAAACAGGAUUAGAUACCCUGGUAGUCCACGCCCUAAACGAUGUCUACUAGUUGUCGGGUUACUUAAUUGACUUGGUAACGCAGCUAACGCGUGAAGUAGACCGCCUGGGGAGUACGGUCGCAAGAUUAAAACCGUUAAAUGAAUUGACCGG
rnacentral:rRNA from 1 species